UAAUAUGAACACACCACCGCUGGCUCUGAGAGUGUCACACAACCCAGAUGGGGCACAGCAAUUCGAACAAGAAUCAGUGUUACAGCCAAACCUGAUACCAAUCUGAUACAGAAGUCUGAAAUGCUUUUCUUUGAUGUGAUCAUGUGCCAGACUGUCAUCCCUGAAUCAACAAGCCAUCGGUUCAGAUUCUUCCCCAGUGAUACGUCUACACUGCUGCAGUCCCAGAGGAGUGCAACCUGUUGGAUGUGGCUUCUUUCAGAGUGCGUUGAAGGGAAACCGUUCGGACUCAGCACCAGGGAGAUCUCAACUGAAGAUAAUAAAAUGUGAGGCUGGA